rnacentral:misc_RNA from 1 species
AUGAAGUUCAGUAUCUGGCUGUCAUCGCGGAAGCUCAAAGAAACAGACCAUUAGCCCUAAACGCCGCCAUCUCUCACCGAUCAGGUGUGGUAAUGGAUUCCCAGCUUCUGUGCUUUAACCGGACCAACUCCUUAAUUAGGCCUCUUCAAUUUCGACUUUUUGGUGCGCCACUGCUCAACUGUCCACCUUCUUAUCUUCAUUUUCCUGGAGGAUUAACUUUGAAAAGAGUAAGGUGUGCCAUGAAGUCUUAUCAGUUAUCUGAACUUACUCGUACUGAAGUUGAUAGCCUGAAAGCCCGCCCUCGAAUUGAUUUCUCUUCAAUUUUCAACGUGGUCAACCCCAUUGUUGAUGAUGUACGCAGCAGAGGUGAUGCUGCUGUUAAAGAUUAUACUGAAAGAUUUGACAAAGUCAAGUUGGAGAAGCUUGUUGAGAAUGUAUCUGAGCUUCCUGACCCAGAGCUUGAUGCAGCUGUUAGGGAAGCAUUUGAUGUGGCAUAUGACAAUAUAUAUGCAUUUCAUCUUGCUCAAAAAGCAGCUGAAAAAAAUGUUGAAAACAUGAAAGGUGUUAGAUGCAAACGGGUGGCAAGGAGCAUUUCUUCUGUAGGUCUUUAUGUUCCAGGGGGAACUGCAGUUUUACCUUCAACAGCUCUGAUGCUUUCAGUUCCUGCACAGAUUGCUGGGUGUAAAACCAUUGUUCUUGCUACUCCUCCAAGUCAGGAUGGCAGCAUAUGCAAGGUACUUUUUCCACAUGAAAAUGUCUUGUAAAGGUUUUGCUUAUUUAGAGUAUUUUCCCCCUAAUGUUGUUGACAAUUUGGAAAACAGGGAAGAGGGCAUGGGGAUUAAAAAAAAAGGGCAAAUUUACUCGCUGAUUUUAUUUUACGUCCUGUAGGAGGUACUGUACUGUGCCAAGAAGGCUGGUGUUACUCACAUCCUUAAAGCUGGUGGAGCUCAGGUUUCAAAACAUUAAACUUAUGACCACAUGUGGUGGUGCAUUUGGACAUUCUAUGUGUUUAUGAACUUUAUAUUAUCAUGAAUUUGUUAAUUUACAGGCUAUAUCAGCCAUGGCUUGGGGGACAGAAUCAUGCCAUAAGGUAAUGCUUUUGCAUCAAACUUAUUUCUCAACUAUUGAUGUCUGAAACUGAUGAUUAACAUGUCAAUGCUUUUAUUACUCCUUUGUGGCGUGUGUGAUUGUUUAUUCUUUUUAUACUAGACUAAUCUAAGCAGUUUUUUCUUGCUAUUAAAAUUGAUGGAUAAAAAAAGUGUGGUAAUCUCCGUCUAAUUGUUGAUGUAUGCCAUAUUUGCGUAUAAAUUAUAAAUUUAAUAUUCCAGUUGAAAUAUUAUGAAAAAAUGCAAAAGUAGCUCAAAUAUAAUAAACAUGACGCAAAUUUGAUUUAUUCAUCCCAAACUAAUGCAAGAAAUAUUUUGCUGGUUAUUAGAAUUGAUGAAUCAGAAAAUCUCUCCCUUUGGUAUUGUUUUUCAUUAGUUGCAUUUAUGUGUAAGUUAUUGUAAAUUUAAAAAUUUUAUGAAAAAUUUGGGAAAACAGUUAAUUAUAUAAUUAUAAACCUAUUUAUUGAAGUUUUAUCUAUUAAUUGAUAAUCUUCUUCUUCUUUGGAUGUGGGAUGGUGAAUUGGUGAUAUGCCAUAUAGGAGGGGAAGAUCAUCAUACUUUGGUCAAAGUAUGUUAAUAAUUUUUAUGAUGAAAAUAAUCUUUAACAUAAAUUUUGGAUUAUGAAAAAUAUCAUAUUACCUAAAAACUCUUUAAUAACUCAAUGAGUUUCUUGUCAAAUUUCAACCUUCUUUACAAACUAUCUGAAAAAGUGUAAUAGAAAAUUUUGAAAUUUUAAAUAUAAAAAAGGGCAAUCUAAUUGAUUAUUGUAGCUCGCAGGUUGAGAAGAUUUUUGGACCAGGAAAUCAGUAUGUCACAGCUGCCAAAAUGAUUCUCCAAAAUAGUGAAGCAAUGAUCUCAAUUGAUAUGCCAGCUGGACCUUCAGAAGUUUUAGUCAUUGCUGACAGACAUGCCAGUCCUGUUCAUAUAGCUGCAGAUUUACUAUCCCAGGCUGAGCAUGGCCCUGAUAGCCAGGUUGUUCUUGUAAUUGUUGGGGAUGGUGUGGAUCUGAAAUCUAUUGAAGAGGAAAUCAGUAAGCAAUGUCUAAGCCUACCAAGGGGAGAAUAUGCUUCAAAAGCACUGAGCCAUAGUUUUACUGUCUUCGCUCGUGAUAUGGUUGAGGCCAUCUCCUUUUCAAACUUAUAUGCACCUGAGCAUCUGAUUGUUAAUGUAAAAGAUGCAGAAAAGUGGGAGAGUUUUAUUGAAAAUGCAGGCUCUGUUUUCUUGGGUCAAUGGACGCCAGAAAGUGUUGGAGACUAUGCAAGCGGGACAAACCAUGUCCUCCCAACAUACGGUUAUGCAAGGAUGUAUGGUGGAGUGUCCUUAGAUUCUUUCCUUAAAUACAUGACUGUGCAGUCUUUGACAGAGGAAGGUCUGAGAAAGCUAGGUCCAUACGUGGCAACCAUGGCUGAAGUUGAAGGGCUGGAAGCCCACAAGAGAGCAGUAACUCUCAGACUUGAGGAUAUAGAAGCCAGACAACUUCAGAAUGUGAGGUAACUAAUUAAGCCUGCACGCAAUUAUAAUAGUAAAAAAAUAAUAAAAAUAAAAAAACACACACACAAAGGGAAAGUCUAAUGCACUAAUCAGUAUUAAGUAUUUCACAUUAUUUUUUAUGAAUGUGUACAAAUUUCAUGUGCAAUUCAUAUGACACACUUUAACAGCAGCAUGAGUGUCUGAAUGAGGAGUACAGCUGAUUAGUAAUAGACCUUACUUUGUUGCUUUUCUCUUCCUCCCAAGAAUUGAAGCUCUUUGCAAUCUGGGGCCCCCCAUCCGCCAUCUCUUGAAGGCGACCAUGGAGGAUUGAGCUGCCUCAUACAAAUUGGUUUCUUCCUUUGUUAAAAGUGCCAAGAAUUUGGUGGCUGCUCCGAAUGCUAUAGUGUGUGCCUUGUAUAGGACCUCCUUAUAGCGGAUUCUAAAUGAAUAAGAGAGCAACAAUCCAAUGGUUUUAUCACACAGAGGUGCCAGCUUGCAUCCAAAUUCAUAGAAGUAUGGACAGCGAGAUCUUAGAUCCACACAUGCCGCAUCAGCCUGCAUUUCCAGCCUUGUUUUUUGAUUAAAACAUGCAGGAACACUCAUUGAUACAGCGUGUCUCAAGUGUAACUCACGAGCAAGCCAAAACGGUAGCUCUGCCUUUGAACCUUGUUCCACAUAGCCUCUUUCAGUGCUUUCAUCAAUUUUUACUCCAUUUACUGCGUUGCGGAAUACAACUGGAACAAACUCUUCCUCCGCAAGGAUAUCAUCAAUGUCAUAGUAAUUUGCCAUUCUUGAUGCUCUCUUUUUCGUUCUUGCAAUUUCUCUCGAAUUUAGAAAGAAAUGUUGUGAAUAGAGACAAUUUUGGGUCUUCCAAACUUGCAAGUAUGAAAUUGAAAGUGUAGACCCAGGAACUCUGAUGACGAGUCGUUUUUUUCUAGCUGGACGAUAGGGUUUGGGAUUGCAUAUACACCCACGAUCUCAGCUCCGGCCACCAAUUAGAUGCAAUUCUCAGCUUGAAGCUGGAAACCCUAGAAUAGUGAGACUGAAGCCUGAAGAUAAACAGCUACUGCGAACAAAAUUUAAAAGCGAGGGAAACUCAAAAUCGUCGAAUUUGAGGAAAGUUUCUGUGUAUGCGCGUGUAACAUAAUUUGGUGUUUGUCAAUCAUGGACCCAGGGCCACGGGUCGAGAAGAGUCCGGACCGGAAACUGCUGUUGCACUAUUUUGAACGUUCCACAACCCCCCACCUCGGCGUAUUGAAACGACCACGUUUCAG